AUGAGCGCCGCCAGCUCGGACUCCGCUGAAAUCGCCACUGCCUCCAAACGCCCGUUCGAUCCCUACCUUGCCGACCCGUCGCCGCCUUCCAAACUCCAGCGGUUCUCCCAGUCAAACAUCUCGCCGGCGGACGCAGACAGCGGCGGAGAGGCGGGCGCCGAAAGCGAGGCGAUGGCCGGCGCGCGGCUCUCCCGGACGCAGCGAUACCUGGUCGCCGUGGAGUACGAUGGCACCCGCUUCUCUGGUUCCCAGCAGCAGCCGAACCAGCGCACCGUCGUAGGCGUCCUCAAGGAGGCAUUUCACAAAUUCAUUGGGCAGCCAGUCUCAAUCUUCUGUUCUAGUCGAACGGAUGCAGGUGUUCAUGCUUUGUCAAAUGUUUGUCAUGUUGAUGUGGAGCGCAUAAGUAAAAGGAAGCCUGGUGAAGUGUUGCCACCUCAUGACCCUGAAGUUGUAAAAUGCGCGGUGAACCAUUUUUUACAUAAGAAUGAAGGUGACAUAAUGGUGACUGAUGUUCGUUGUGUUGCACCAGAUUUCCAUGCUAGAUACAAAGCUCUAGAGCGCACAUAUCACUAUCGUUUACUUUCUGGGCCUGAGCGACCGUCAAUCUUUGAGAAAAACUCGGCUUGGCACAUACCUGAGGAUCUAAAUAUACAAGCUAUGAAGAAAGCAUGCAAUAUACUUGUUGGGCAUCAUGAUUUCAGUUCAUUUCGAGCAUUUGGAUGUCAGGCAAAAUCUCCAGUGAGAACUUUGGAUGAGCUUACUGUUACAGAAGUAUUUCCUGUCAUGUUUUUUCCUUCAAGCUUAGAGCGAUCAGAGAUGGAAUCACCAGAUGGGUCUCUUGUUUAUUCAAGGGCAUCACUCAUGGGAUCUUCUGGAGAAGGAUCUGAUGUUUCUAGUACUACUAGUGGGAAAUCAGUAUGCGAGAAUGGGCAAGAGUUUGGAAAGAGAUUAAGGCACCGCUGCUUUGUUGUUACUGCAAGGGCACAGUCUUUCCUUUACCACCAGGUAAGAUUGAUGGUCGGUCUUCUGAAAGCUGUUGGAAUAGGAGAUCUAACAACUGCUGAUGUGGAGAGAAUUCUGGAUGCAAAGACAAUGACUGCUGCACCUCCUAUGGCACCUGCUUACGGGCUUUACCUUGACAACGUGAAAUAUGACCCGACUGUUUAA
rnacentral:rRNA from 1 species